GUGCUUGCUCUGGCAGCACAUAUUCUAAAACAGUGGAGAAAAGGUCAGCGUAGCCUUUACACAAGGAUGAUGUGCAAAUCUGUAAAGUGUUCCAUAGUUUA
rnacentral:snRNA from 1 species